rnacentral:tRNA from 1 species
CCCCUAUAGUAUAAGACAUUACAAUGGUCUUGUAAGCCAUAAAUGAAAACCACUUUCUAAGGGUAUUCA